rnacentral:rRNA from 1 species
GUCUGCAACUCGACUACAUGAAGCUGGAAUCGCUAGUAAUCGCGGAUCAGAAUGCCGCGGUGAAUACGUUCCCGGGUCUUGUACACACCGCCCGUCACACCAUGGGAGUCGGAAAUGCCCGAAGUCUGUGACCCAACCUUAGGGAGGGAGCAGCCGAAGGCAGGUCGGAUGACUGGGGUGAAGUCGUAACAAGGUACC